UAAUGCAUUGAAAGUGGCCAUGGCUGGUCUGUAGCCACGAUCAUUGAUAGUACAGGUACAUAAUGCUUGGAGCCUUUCCCGUGUUUGAAGGAUUAAUAAUUCCUACCAGACCCUGUUGCUUCAAAACA
ensembl:snoRNA SNORA71 Small nucleolar RNA SNORA71